CUUUGGUUACACAAGUAUGUAAAGCAAAAUAUUUUCUGAAUGAGCAUUUUUUAAAUUCUCGUUUGGGAAAAACUAGCUCUUAUAUUUGGAAAAGCAUUUGGGCAGCGAAAGGUAUUUUGGAAAAAGGAAUAUGUUGGAGGGUUGGUAUAGGUUCAAACAUUUCUAUUCAUGCUGAUGCGUGGAUUCGAGAUGUUGUUAAUUUUAGAUUAUCUUCAAUUGUUAAUACUAUGUGAGAUGAAAAGGUUAGUGAGUUGAUCGACAGCAAUGCGAGAAUAUGGAAAAAAGAACUCAUAAACAAUACCUUUUCAAAAGACGAUGCUGGAAAAAUUAUCCAGAUACCUUUAGCGCGCACACCUCAGGAUGAUCUGUUUGCCUGAGGAGGUGAACAUUCAGGGGAAUUCUUGGUCUGCAGCGCCUACAAACUAUUAUAAUUUUUUGAUGAAAUUCCUAGAGCUUAUGCUUUACAAACCAACUACGAGAAUUCUUACAAAAAACUCUGGCUCCUAAAUCUACCUACUAAAAUAAAGGCUACAGUAUGGAGAAUUUCAUGGAACUAUCUGCCUACGAGGAUUAAUAUGCACUACUGAAAGCUCGUUAGUAAUACAAGCUGCCCCCAAUGUGGAGAAAAUAAUGAAACAAUCGAUCAUAUCUUUCGCGAAUGUCCUGUCACGGUGGAAGUUUGGACACUAUUAAAUCUUCAAAAUAUUCUUAUAAAUUCUACCAUGGAUUUUUUACAGUGGAUUCCCUAGAUCUUUGAUCAGCUCACUACAUGUCAGAACAAACUCUUCUGCUGCGGUCUCUGGGCUAUCUGGGGAGAGAGAAAUAAAAGACUGCAUGAGCAGAAACAGAGUACAGUCAUGAAAUAGUAAACUUCAUCAACAACUAUCUUGCUGAACUUAAUGGUUUAGAAAGGAAAAAUCCAGUAAGGGGGAAUGAGCAAAGAAGAUGGAAUUACCCAACUAGUGAGUUCGUCAAAAUUAAUUUUGAUGGUGCUAAUGAUGCGACUCAUCAACAAUCUGCCUUAGGAAUUGUAGCUAGAAAUGAAGAAGGGGUUGUCUUACUUUCCUGUUCAGAGAUCCACCAUGGGGUAACUUUCGCCUUUGCAGCUGAAGCAAUAGCGUGCCAAAAAGCGGUCCAAACAGGAGUUGAACAAGAAUGGCCGAAGAUCAUUAUUGAAGGUGAUUCCCUCACAAUAAUUAAGAAAUGUAUAUCAAAGAGUCAAGGCCAUUCAGAUAUUGGAGCAUAUAUAUAUGAUAUUAAACAAAAACUGAACAGAUCGAGAAGCUUCAUAUUCAAACACACACCAAAAUUUGCAAAUGCUCUCGCGCAUAUAUUGGCAAUAGAAACUCUAAAAAGGAAGGAAGAGAUGUACCUGGAUAUGAAGGUCCUGGGGUAUGCUGAAAAUCAACGAAAGAUUGAGUGGAGAAGAGAACCGGAUUGAGGAGAGAACGGGGAAGAAGAGAACUGAGAGGAAAGGAAAAGAGAGCAAAUAAAUCGGUUUUAGAAGAACAACUUUCCCAAAAACUAAACUGUCAAAAGCAAAGAAAGAAAUAAGACUCAAAUGACAAGACAGGGUUCAGCAAUUUCUGACUGGGCAUUAAUUAGAUGUAAUUAUUAUGAUUUCUAGACUAUUCGGUUAAAAUAUCUAGAUUUGUUCUGAGUUUGGGCCAUUUUAUUUGAUGUUCAUUGUUUGCUGUUUAUUUUUUGGUUUCAUA
rnacentral:lncRNA from 1 species